AAGUCGUAACAAGGUUUCCGUAGGUGAACCUGCGGAAGGAUCAUUAACACUUUUUCUUUGAGUUUUUCUCAGCAUGUGCGCACAGUAGGAACUCGUUUGCCAUAGAUCGACGCGUUAUGAUUGGAAGCUCGAAAGGGCUUGGCGCGCCGGUAAUUUGGCUGACGGGGAAUAAACUCAGUCUCUAAUCAUGGCUGGAAUUUUUUUUUACUUGAUUUUCGAACUGAUUUUAGGCAACGAUCGAGACCCUCUCUCUCUCCAGAGCGGGCCUCUCUGCGCCUCUGAUGAAUUUUUCUUCUUAGAAAAAUCUCUUCAACAUUAAACACAACUCUUAACAGCGGAUAUCUCGGUUCUCGU
rnacentral:misc_RNA from 1 species